rnacentral:rRNA from 1 species
GAUCUGGCAGCAGUGGGGAAUAUUGCACAAUGGGCGAAAGCCUGAUGCAGCAACGCCGCGUGAGGGACGAAGGCCUUCGGGUUGUAAACCUCUUUUAGCAGGGAAGAAGCGAAAGUGACGGUACCUGCAGAAAAAGCACCGGCUAACUACGUGCCAGCAGCCGCGGUAAUACGUAGGGUGCAAGCGUUGUCCGGAAUUAUUGGGCGUAAAGAGCUCGUAGGCGGUUUGUCACGUCUGCUGUGAAAUUUCGAGGCUCAACCUCGAACUUGCAGUGGGUACGGGCAGGCUAGAGUGCGGUAGGGGAGAUGGGAAUUCCUGGUGUAGCGGUGGAAUGCGCAGAUAUCAGGAGGAACACCAGUGGCGAAAGCGGCA